AAGAUUAACCCAAGGCCCCGGACCGGCGAAGCGGUUUGACUCGACCGGAACACCAAAGGUACGAACCCAACUCGCCGGCCACCGAGAUGGCUCCACCGCCGCCCGCCCCUACGCCGGCGGCGAGGCUACUGAGGGAGUACGGGUGGGACCUGAUGCUCGGAUCGAUCGCUGCGUUCUACGCCGUCAUGGUGCCUUACACCAAGGUGGAGGAGAGCUUCAAUGUGCAGGCCAUGCAUGAUAUUCUGUACCACAAUCAUCACAUCGAGAAGUAUGACCAUUUAGAGUUUCCUGGCGUUGUUCCUCGGACAUUUAUAGGAGCAUUGAUAAUAGCUAUUCUCUCGUCGCCUGCGGUUCUCAUAAUGCGUGUAUUCCAUGUUCCAAAGAUUUAUAGUCUUCUAGCAGUCCGAUUAGUAUUGGGCUAUGCUAUCCUGACGACUUUGAGACUUUUCCGAGUUGAGGUCAAAAGAAAGUUUGGUCGCCAUGUUGAAGCAUUCUUUGUGGUACUAACUGCUAUCCAGUUUCACGUUUUAUUUUACUCAACUCGGCCUCUUCCAAAUAUAUUAGCAUUGGCUUUAGUUAACUUGGCAUACUCGUUCUGGUUCAAGGGAAAUUAUCUACGCACAUUACAGGCACUGAUUGUUGCAGCCGUUGUUUUUAGAUGUGAUAUGAUUCUACUUCUUGGUACAAUAGGGGUUGCACUUUUGCUGAGCAGAUCUUUUUCUCUAAUGGAAGCCAUAAAGUGUUGCAUAAGCACUGCUCUUUUAUGCAUUGGUUUCACGGUACUGGUUGACUCGAUAAUGUGGCAGAGAAUCCUGUGGCCAGAAUUUGAAGUUUUCUGGUUUAAUUCAGUUCUGAACCGGAGUUCAGAAUGGGGUACACAUUCGAUCCAUUGGUACUUCACCUCAGCACUUCCGCGCUCCAUGCUUGUAGCCUAUCCUCUUUGCUUGGUUGGUGCUCUUCUUGAUAGGAGGAUAGUGCCAUACGUGCUUCCAGUCACCUUAUUUGUUGUACUCUAUUCGAAACUUCCACAUAAGGAGCUUCGUUUCAUAAUUGCCGCAGUUCCCAUGCUUAAUGUGUCUGCUUCUCUGGCCGCAAACAGAUUAUAUAAUAACAGAAAGAAAAGUGGUUGGAAUUUCCUUUAUGUUCUCAUGCUUGGUGCCUUUCUUGUCAGUCUUGGAUACUCUGCUGUGAGUUUCAUGGCCUCCUACAGCAAUUAUCCUGGUGGCCAUGCUCUGAAGGCUCUACAUGAAGCAGAUUCUUCUAUGAAGGAAAAAAUGGUCCACAUUGAUGUCUUAACCGCGAUGAGUGGGGUUUCUCGUUUCUGCGAAAAUGAAUACCCUUGGAGACGUGGACGCCCAUUUUGCUCAAUGUCAGAUACUCGAAGGAAGAGGACAUUUCCAUUGAAGAAUAUCAGAACAGAAAUUUCACCUAUCUACUGAAUGAGCACCGCUACGUUAGUGGCUACGAGUGCUUGUUUGGCGUGGAGGGAUUCUCCAGAGCCAGAAUUCAACCCCGGUUUCCACCACUUUCCCUGGUGAAAGUGCCGAAAGUGUUCGCACAUGGGAACACGGGAGAUCCCGGUAUUCUCUCGCUAGACUGGCCCGGCUGCCCCUGAGAGCGGCGAGGCGACGGUGCCCAGAUCUCUGUCGCGGGACCACCGACUAGUACAAACAGUUGGAGAUGCGGAAGCGUGCGUGGCUCCAGCUCCAGGUGGAGAGCUCCUUCCAGUCUAUAUACUCUGGAAGGUACAGUCCCAGGCGUGCCAUGUUUGUAAGGUUAAUACUAUUAGAACGUCGCAGUCCGGAGCCAGAAAAAUCGAGGAUCCAUCUAUCUAUGUGUGUACAACGAGUUUUGGCCUGUGCCUCUGUGGCAUCGCUGUCCUUAUCUGGUUCUCCAGUAGACAGAUAAAGGAACAGGUGACGACGUGACGGUGUCUUUAGGGAGGGAAGGUAUUUUAUCCGCGGUGCA